UCCAGCUGCCUAAGUGGAUACAUAUGUGCAUUUUUCUGAGAUGGCAUCAAGAGGCUGCAAGCAUCCAGCAGACGCAUUUUGCUAUGUCUGCAGCCAAUUUCUCAAGACAAGAGUGAAAAAGUACUCUGUGGAAACAUCUGCUUAGAUAUGUGAGGCCUACAAGGCAUAUUUGGGCAUGCUUGUCGGGGAUCAAGACAAACCCUGGGUACCUCAUUUCACCUGAGAGCAAUGCAAAAACACUUUGUAAGGAUGGUAGAGGGGAGAAAAGAGAGCCAUGAAGUUCGCUUUCCCAAGAAUUUGGCGGGAACCCACUGACCACUCAAGCAACUGCUGCAAGUUGGACCCUUCCAAACGUCAGACUGGCAAGAAUGCACCUGCUAUCCUUCAUCCAUCGCCCCUGUGCCACACUGCCAUGAGCUGCCCAUACCCACUCCUCCAAAGAGAGCAGCUGCCUUUAGAAGAGAGCAGCAAGUCAGAGAGCGAGGAACACAUACAUCCAUAUGACAAUUUCAGAGGUGGAGCUGCGGAGAGAAACCCAUACUACCUCAACCAAAAAGACCUCAACGACUUGAUCAUUGAUAUAUGUCUCACCAAGUCCAAUGCCGAGCUUUUGACGUCGAGCAGUGGAACUUGUUGGAUGCGAGUGUGCAAGUCGUAAAUCAGAGGAAGCGUCACCAACCUUUUUGCAGCUUCUUCACCCGUGAAUAUGUACUCUGAUUCUGCCACAAUGUGACCAGUCUUUUCGAGGCAAUCGGAAUCGCCUGUGACUCAGAAUGAGUGGCGCGUCUUCAUCGACAGCUCAUCCAGGAGCCUCAAAGCCGUGCUGCUCCAUAAUGGUAACAAGUGCCCGUCUCUUCCCCUGGCACACUGGGUGCACCUCAAAGAGGAUUACAACAGCAUCAAGAUCUUGCUGGAUGCCUUGAUGUAUGAUGAGUAUGGCUGGGAGGUCAUCGGAAACUUCAAAAUAGUGGAAUUCCUGAUGGGUCUCCAAGGUGGUUUUCCCAAGUUUCCCUGCUAUAUUUGCCUUUGGGAGAGCAGGGACACUAAGGCGCACUACCACAGGCGGGACUGGCCACUGCGGACCGAGUUCUGUCUGGGGAGGAACAACGUCAAGUAGGAGCCACUGGUGGACCCCCGGAAGGUGCUGAUGCCACCACUGCACAUCAAGUUGGGCCUUAUGAAACAAUUUGUCAGAACCGUAGAUAAGGAGUCAGCAGCCUUAAAGUACCUUCAAGACUUCUUCCCUAAGCUGUCUGAGGCAAAGGACCAUUUCAGAUAAUAGUCACUGGUGUUGGCCGUGAGCGGGAAUCGAUUUCGGGAAGCCCAGGUUCGUAAGUGCACCUCGCUAACCGCUACACUACCACUCCAUCAAUAACUGCUACACUACCCCUGAAGGCACACGCACAUUUACAAUCGCCAGCGGUAAAGAUGCAUCCACCUUCUGUGUGGGCGACGUGAUUUUGGAAAUCACAUCCUCACCGCCGCGCACCUCUGCACUCCUUUUAAAGCAACGAAGAGCGAGGAGGUGGCCUGGGUGAGUUGUGGUCCACCGCCAUGGCACCAGUGUGUACUCGUGGGUUUGAUGGAUUGGUGUGAGCUGGUUGGCAACGCUCAAGGCUACUGGAGAGUGAAUGCUCAAAGUCCCCGUGGGAGUCAUUUGCAGUUAUAAGCCAUUAUGAGGCUGGGAGCAUUUCCAAAGUAAAAAAACAAUUACAGUAUUAGCAAUUAAUUAUGAAUGCUGCAUCGUUAACUGCACUCCUUCCAUUGGUGUCGCUGGUUUCGCUUGAAAAAAUGGACCUUACGUCUCAAAGCUAUUUCAAUUGGUUAAAUACAUUUUUUCUUUUAAAAAUUUAAAUAUCUUCUUGAUACGUAUGUCCAAACUUGUUUAAUGACAUAUUAAAAUAAUUAUAGAUGUAAAAACUUAAAUUUGAUUUCAUGUGUCUUGAAGGCAGUGCACGCUACAUAUGAAGAACCAUGUGGAUCAAUUCAAUUUCUAACCAGCAGAUGUCCUUUAAGUCACAACUAUUCAAGUACAAAAAAUGUAUCAUGAUUCACAGCGAUAUCAAAGAUCACGUUCAUAUAUUUAUUGUUUUAUUUUCACUUUUCUGUACUUCUAGUGCAAAUACAUAUGCAAUCAUAUGUUCUGUAACUGCUGUUCACUCAACAAAAGCAUACCAUAAUGUUUUAUAUUCUCUACAAUCUACAACUCUUGUAAUGCACAUUCUGUGAGUUACAAAUAACAAAUGAAAUACAUUAUGUGAAUGGUGACUUCACGUAACCUCCCAUGGCACCAUUAACCAGAGAAAACAUGUAGCAACAGUCAAAUAAUUGUACAAUAGCUAUUUAUUCACAACUGUAACGAUUAGAGUUAAUGUUAUAAAUAAUUUGUGAAGGAAAUUAAGAAUUGUGUAAACCAGUGAUGAUGCUUGUGCUUUAAGAAUAUUUUAGAAACCGAACGAAACGAUUCCAGUGGAUCUUAUAUCGUGCGAUGUAGAGAGAGCAUCGCCACAUCGCGCGGACCCGAGUCAUGAAACAUUACAGAUAUCUACAGUACUUUGAUUUUCACACAACUUGCCAAAAGGGUUGCAUGAGUGCACACAUUGGUUUCGCUGUUAUCCGUUAUUUACCAGCCACUAGACAGACAGUAAGUAUAAUAUGACAUUUUAAUUGUAAUCCCAGAGGAAGGAUUGGUGGAUGUAUAAUCCAUGGUAAACAUCAACAGGUAGAGAGAGGCGUAAGUUCUAGCUCCAGAAUUCCUGUAUCAUGAAACAUUAAUUAUGACAACUUUCAUACCAACUUUACAAUAGCACCGUUCAUUCUGAUAUUGUUGAGAUAGUAAUAUGCAUGGACACUUGCGUGUAUAUUGAAAUGCUUUCGCAUCGUAUAUAGAGGUGUGGGGGAAGGACAACACACUAAACAUGCAAAGAAAGCAGUUCUGACUGCAGAGACAGGAAAAAAGAAUAAUGGUAUUCGAGGUGAGAUGGCUGAGAUGGCGGAGAGGAAUACCACAGAGCCCACCACACAACCGUGACAAGAUAAGAGGGGGGGGGGGGAGACUAUCCAACAUCAUCAUCUUCUUACAGGGCAUGGCAGAAGGAAACAGAAGGAGAGGACGACCCAAGAUCAAUCGAAUGACAAAUGUGAUAACACGGAUCUGAUAACCCGACACAACACCUGACAACGAGACAACGACUACAAAGGGCAGGCAAGAGUUGGCAGCCGACCGCACAACCACUGUGGUGGUGGUGGUGAUGAGCAUGCAUUGUUACAGGAUAACAGCGUUCAUGUUGAAAAGGCCAUUAGCUGGGCUGCACACGGGACCCUCUUAAACAUUCUGUGAGAAGUAUAACAUUCAGAAAGCAAGACAAAAUAGAUAUGAAGAAUCACAGACUCACGUAUACAUUAUUCAGGAAGAUAAUUUCUGACGUGAAUAUUGGCCAAUUAAGAUGCCAACCAAGGACGUCAAGCAAAAUGUAUUUACAAAAAUGGGUUUUCUACCAUGGACCACAUGUUAUCAAUCAGAUACGAAACAAAACAACAACCGUUACAUUUCACUUUAAUAAACGAGGAAAAGGGUGGAAACGGAUUGCAGACAAGCAACCUCUCACAAAUUGAUGUCUUUGCAACAAAGUAAGACCUAUCGAAACAAUUUACAAUGAUGGAACAACUCCACCGAGAUUAUAUAAGCAGGAAACAAUACAAGGAGAUGCACUCUUACCAAUGCUGUUCAUAACAAAAAAAAAACAGAAAAUCCUCCGGUACUUUCAUAAAAUUGGGUUUAGAAAUAAGACAAACAUACAUGCUUAAAGCAUUUACCAUCUGGAAUUUAUGAUGACACAUUCGCCAUGAUAAUAACAAAUACCAAUCCACUGCAUGAAAUCAUGGAAUCACUGAACAAAAAAGGUGACAGUUUGAUUAACGUUGGAUAUCAGCAAAACAAAUAUCAUGUACCAUACACUCGCUUCAGAAAUAAUUAAGGACACAACUGGAAAACACAAACUAAUAUCUAUACCCCGAGCAAUUAUUGAAGGCGAGAGAAGGAUAUAAUGCUUUUGGAAACUGAAUUUGAUCAAGAAAAGCGAUAAACCGCAGUGUAAAACGAAUAAUGUUUACCAUCAGUGCAUAUUAGCUGCUAAGACAUAUUGAUCAGAAACUUGAAAAACAACAAAUAAAAUAGAA